AGUUAAUGAACUUGAUAUAAGUAUAUAUUUUGAAAAUAUAAAAUAGGUUUUAUCCUAUUAACUU
rnacentral:tRNA from 1 species